AUCAUAUGCCCACCGCUUUGACUGUUCUUAGCUUUCCCCACCGCACCCUCGCCUCCUCCCAAUCGCCGACCCCCAUCAUCACCUCGGCGUCCCACUCGCUGCCGGCCAUGGCGACGAGGAGCUGGACCAUGGAGACAAGCUGUUCGCGGGCGUCGGCACCCCGUCCGCCGCCGGCCAUGGCGACGAGGAGCUGUACCCUGAAGAGGCAUCGCGGCAGCCCGGAGUCCUCUCGGGCUUCUCACCCGUCGAUGGCCCACAUCGAUGCGUUCCUUGGCGCGGCCGUCGCCGAAGGUGAUGGCCAUGACAGAGCAUGAGGCGUCGAGCGCCAGGAGUGGCAGGAGCACAACAAGCGGUGGGCGGCACGGAUAAAGGGCGUCGGGUUAGGCCGCAUGCCGCUCAGCUACGAUGCACUGCUCCAGGUGCUAGGCGAAUGGUGCUUGGCCUCGGGCGCGACGGUCUUAUAAGGUCCGUGCUGUAGAUGGGGCUUCGAUCUAUGUCUUAGGCAGCAGCGUGGUCGGCGGGUACAAUCGUCGGGCAGCGCAGCGCUGAACUUGCGCGGCGGAUGGAAUCGACAUCGUGGUGAGCUGCGGGCGGACUCGGCACUGCUCCGGACAGAGAUCGCCGGUCAGCCGUCUCCGCGUGCUUGGCCUGCCUGCCGUGCGCGCUGCCCCAGCUGAUGCCCUGCUCGCGCAGAUGGAAGGGCUAGACUUGGAGAGGAGGCAGUACGUGGCGGCCGAUGAAGUUGCGAGGAAAGAGAAACUGGAGCGCGGCAUGAAGCGGCGGACGGUGGCGAUUGCGACUAAAUCGACACAGCUUUUUGUCCCCCAGAUCCAUAUCUCCAUGUAGCUUCCAUGUAUUUGAUGCGAAAUCUUUCGUGAAGAGCAGUGCAUUCGCAAAGGAUUUAAUCAAGAAUUUCACAUCCGUGGAUGCUCCAGUUCUGUGAUUUUUUUACUGAAAUCAUGCCUACCAUGUGGCUGCAUUUUUUGCAGGUUGUUCUAUUCUUCCAGAUUGAUGUAAUGCCAAGUCAUUUGGCUGACAUGUGGUUGUUCUGUUUGUACACGGACGGGCAAGCCUUAGAUUUAUAAAAUGUUGAAAUGUUAAUUUUGAGAUGUUGGCACGAAAGAUGUACACUGUGAGUUGGCUGUAUCGGAACACAGCCUGGCUGCUGGUCAGCAAGAGGUAUGUUCUAAUAUCAAAUUAUGUAGAUAAUAUCUUUCUGGUUGCGUAAAAGUAAUUUAUAUUUCCUAGCUAGCUGAAACCAGAUGGUUGUCUUUAGUGAGAAGAUUUGGAAUUUGUGCAAGCAUAAUAAGAUGGAUUUUGCUGAAACCAAGCUUGGUAUGAACUUUUAAAUUUAAGAAGUUUCCAUGAUUUUAGUCCUAUCCAAGUGUCUAUUUAUACUAUUUGUUCUUACAUGAGGGAUGAAUCACCUUCCAAGUAAGAAAAAUAUUCUUUCUAGAUUAUAUGGAAGCCUAAGGGGGAGUACAUGCACAUUUCAUGGUUUUGUUUUAAGUUAUCUCUUUCUACAUUAUUGUGCUUUGUUUUGGUAGCAGAACAAUUCUUCUUUCUUUUCAGAUAAAACUCCAGUCUUUCUGUGCAGGCCUUCAGUGUCAUUUUUGAUCGAGGGAAAAUUUGAUCAAUCUAAUGAUUUAUUGUUUCUUUUGGUGGGAGCAAAAAGGAUUGGUUCCAUGUUGUCUAUUUUACAGCAUGGGUAGUUCUUUUGCACGGCAGGAAAAGUUGUGGAUCCAAUCUCUUGGCGUCUGAUAUAUCGGCUGGACUUAAACACCCAAAAGGGUCUUCUUUUGGUGGCUGACAGCAUGUGCUUCUUUACUUUCAGAGGAAGCGACUGCCGGUUGUGGACACGAGGAGUUGGUCAUAGAGCUAGAACACUGACGGUUGUGGACACGAGGAGUUGGUCAUAGAGCUAGAAGCCAGAUGAAAAGUUGAGAUUUUGCAUCAGUGUCUUUGAGAAAUUGGUGUAAAGUCUAUGAAUGUUGAUGUUAAGAAGCUGGGUAUCUUUGAAAUUCUCAAUAAGAGAUGCCCUUUGUGCUGAACCACGGCGAUGAUUACAGUCCUGUACCAAAGCUGGGUAUUUUUGAAAUUCUGAGUAAAAUGUUGUUAAUUAUUGCAAGGCGGCACUUACCUUGUGCUGGUGUGUCCCUUUUUUAGUUCCGGCUUUUUGUACGUCUUUUUCGUAAGUAGUCUAUUACAAUUUUUACUUAAGGCUACAAGGAAAUUAAUUAAGUACUUCAAAA